UUAAGUUCAGCGGGUAGUCCCACCUGAUUCGAGGUCAAAGCUGGAAAUUGGAAAUACAGAUCAAAAUAAUCUACAAAACCAGGUUUAGAAGCAACCCAAAUGGGGACUGGCCAUCCCGAAAGAUGUCCUCAGCGAUCAGACUGUUAUCACGCUGAGUAGAACCAGUUCCACACAAGGAUCAGCUAAUGCUUUUAAGGCCA
rnacentral:misc_RNA from 1 species